GGCUGGGCUGGGCUGGGGGUAACUGAUGAGGGCUGGGCCGGAGUCAGGGUGAAAGGGCCAAGUUGGGGUGACAAGGGCCGGGUCGUGGGGUGAGGAAGGCCAGGCUGAGCCGGGCUGGGGGUGACUGAUGAGGGCUUGGCCGGAGUCAGGGUGCCAGGACCGAGUCGGGGUGAUGAGGGCCCGGUCGGGGGUGACAGGGCCGGGUCAGAGGUGACAGGGCCGGGUCAGGCUGGGCUGGGGGCGACUGAUGAGGGCUUGGCCGGAGUCAGGGUGACAGGGCUCAGUGGGGGUGAUGAGGGCCCGGUCGGGGGUGAUGAGGGCCAGGUUGGAGUCAGGGUGAUAGGGCCGAGUUGGGGUGACAAGGGCCAGGUCAGGAGUGAUGAGGACUGGGCCAGGCUGGGCUGGGGGUGACUGAUGAGGGCCGGGCCGGGGUCAGGGUGACAGGGCCGAGUUGGGGGUGACAGGGCCGGGUCAGGCUGGGCUGGGGGCGACUGACGAGGGGUGGGCCGGAGUAAGGGUGACAGGGCCGAGUUGGGGUGACGAGGGCCAGGUCAGGGGUGAUGAAGACUGGGUCAGGCUGAGCUGGGGGCGACUGAUGAGGGCCA